CGGAACGGGUGAGUAAUGCGUGACCAACCUGCCCCAUGCUCCAGAAUAGCUCUUGGAAACGGGUGGUAAUGCUGGAUGCUCCAACUUGACGCAUGUCUUGUUGGGAAAGUGUUUAGUGGCAUGGGAUGGGGUUGCGUCCUAUCAGCUUGUAGGCGGGGUAAUGGCCCACCUAGGCUUCGACGGGUAGCCGGCCUGAGAGGGCGGACGGCCACAUUGGGACUGAGAUACGGCCCAGACUCCUACGGGAGGCAGCAGGA
rnacentral:rRNA from 1 species